rnacentral:rRNA from 1 species
UAAUACAUGCAAGUCGGACGGUAACAGGUAGAUAGCUUGCUAUUUAUGCUGACGAGUGGCGGACGGGUGAGUAAAGACUGGGAAACUGCCCGAUAGAGGGGGACAACAGUUGGAAACGACUGCUAAUACCGCAUGAACCCUGAGGGGGAAAGAAGAAAUUCGCUAUCGGAUGUGCCCAGUUGGGAUUAGCUAGUAGGGGUGGUAAAGGCACACCUAGGCGAUGAUCUCUAGCUGGUCUGAGAGGAUGAUCACCCACUUUGGGACUGAAACACGGCCCAGACUCCUACGGGAGGCAGCAGUAGGGAAUAUUGCACAAUGGAGGAAACUCUGAUGCAGCCAUGCCGCGUGUGUGAAGAAGGCCUUCGGGUUGUAAAGCACUUUCGGAGGGGAGGAGAAAGGACGUUACCCUCAGAAGAAGCACCGGCUAACUCCGUGCCAGCAGCCGCGGUAAUACGGAGGGUGCGAGCGUUAAUCGGAAUAACUGGGCGUAAAGGGCAUGCAGGCGGUUGGACAAGUAAGGUGUGAAAUACCGGGGCUUAACUUCGGGGCUGCACUUUAAACUAUCCGGCUAGAGUAUUGCAGAGGGAGACGGAAUUCCAGGUGUAGCGGUGGAAUGCGUAGAUAUCUGGAAGAACACCGGAGGCGAAGGCGGUCUCCUGGGCAAAUACUGACGCUCAGACGCGAAAGCGUGGGGAGCAAACAGGAUUAGAUACCCUGGUAGUCCACGCUGUAAACGAUGUCGAUUAGAAGUUCGAGCAUAAGCUUGGGUUUCGUAGCAAACGCGCUAAAUCGACCGCCUGGGGAGUACGGCCGCAAGGUUAAAACUCAAAUGAAUUGACGGGGGCCCGCACAAGCGGUGGAGCAUGUGGUUUAAUUCGACGCAACGCGAAGAACCUUACCUGAUCUUGACAUC